rnacentral:rRNA from 1 species
CCGCUGUUGGUGUUCGCUUAAGCCUGCGAGUCCAGAGUGGUCAUGCACUCGGCGCACGGCUCAGUAACACGCGGAGAACCUGCCCUAAGGUGGGGGAUAACCUCGGGAAACUGAGGAUAAUACCCCAUAGUUCACGAGCGCUGGAACGCCUCGUGGGCGAAAGAUCCGUCGCCUUAGGAUGGCUCUGCGGCCUAUCAGGUUGUAGCGAGUGUAACGUACUCGCUAGCCGACAACGGGUACGGGCGUUGAGAGACGUCGCCCGGAGAUGAAUUCUAAGACACGAAUUCAGGCCCUACGGGGCGCAGCAGGCGCGAAAACUCUGCAAUGCCGGCAACGGCGACAGGGGAACACCAAGGGCUUGCACUAUGUGCAAGCUGUUUUCAUGCCUAAAAAGCAUGGAGAGUAAGGGCUGGGUAAGACGGGUGCCAGCCGCCGCGGUAAUACCCGCAGCCCAAGUGGUGCUCGUUAUUAUUGGGCCUAAAGCGUCCGUAACCGGCUUCGUAAAUGCCUAGGGAAAUUGUGUUGCUCAACAACACGAAGUCCUGGGUAGACUGCGAGGCACGAGACCGGGAGAGGCCAGAGGUACUCCAGGGGUAGAGGUGAAAUUCUGUAGUCCUUGGGGGACCACCGGUGGCGAAGGCGUCUGGCUAGAACGGAUCUGACGGCGAGGGACGAAGCCCUGGGGCGCAAACGGGAUUAGAUACCCCGGUAGUCCAGGGUGUAAACGCUGCGGACUUGGUGUCGGAGGUCCUACGGGGGCUUUCGGUGCCGGAGCGAAGGUGUUAAGUNCCGCCGCCUGGGGAGUACGGCCGCAAGU